GGUGAUCCCAUCUGUUCGUCAUGUGACAGGCAACUCAGAGCCAAGCAGAGGAACAGACAGAACACUGAGUCAACAUGUUUCUGUCUUCUGUGGGGGAAGAAGGUGGGAUGCUGCUGCUUAGCAGGAAGAUGUCUUCCAAUUACAGCCGCUCCUGCAGAAGCUCUGCCUGGUGCUGUUUUGUUUAUCUUCCCUGUGAAGGUUGUGAGAAGAGAACCAAACCCACCAAAGGAGGGUCUUGCCAGGCGGUGCAGCUCUGGCAAACCAGCUCUGGGGAACCUGCGGUGCUUCCUGGGGGCCAUCCGUGGUAUGGGUGGUGACUGCUGAAGUGAAAUCAUGCUGAAAAGCAGACAGUUGCAGUCAAUAUUGAAAAACGAUCUUACCUAUCUUUUUGGACAGAGAAGAUGCUCCAGCAUUGAUUAGCUGUAAUGGACUGCAGCACACCGAUUGCAAGGUAAGAUAGAUUGAUUGCUGGUGGG
rnacentral:lncRNA from 1 species